UACAGAGGGUGCAAGCGUUAAUCGGAAUUACUGGGCGUAAAGCGUGCGUAGGUGGUCUGUUAAGUCAGAUGUGAAAUCCUUGGGCUCAACCUGAGAAUUGCAUUUGAUACUGGCGGACUGGAGUGUGGUAGAGGGUAGUGGAACUCCCGGUGUAGCGGUGAAAUGCGUAGAUAUCGGGAAGAACACCAGUGGCGAAGGCGGCUACCUGGACCAACACUGACACUGAGGCACGAAAGCGUGGGGAGCAAACAGG
rnacentral:rRNA from 1 species